GCGGGCGAGGUUGCUUCGGUAACUGAGCUAGCGGCGGACGGGUGAGUAAUGCUUAGGAAUCUGCCUAUUAGUGGGGGACAACAUUCCGAAAGGAAUGCUAAUACCGCAUACGCCCUACGGGGGAAAGCAGGGGAUCUUCGGACCUUGCGCUAAUAGAUGAGCCUAAGUCAGAUUAGCUAGUUGGUGGGGUAAAGGCCUACCAAGGCGACGAUCUGUAGCGGGUCUGAGAGGAUGAUCCGCCACACUGGGACUGAGACACGGCCCAGACUCCUACGGGAGGCAGCAGUGGGGAAUAUUGGACAAUGGGGGGAACCCUGAUCCAGCCAUGCCGCGUGUGUGAAGAAGGCCUUUUGGUUGUAAAGCACUUUAAGCGAGGAGGAGGCUACCGAGAUUAAUACUCUUGGAUAGUGGACGUUACUCGCAGGAUAAGCACCGGCUAACUCUGUGCCAG
rnacentral:rRNA from 1 species